rnacentral:rRNA from 1 species
UAUUGGGCGUAAGAGCUCGUAGGCGGUUUGUCGCGUCUGCCGUGAAAGUCCGGGGCUCAACUCCGGAUCUGCGGUGGGUACGGGCAGACUAGAGUGAUGUAGGGGAGACUGGAAUUCCUGGUGUAGCGGUGAAAUGCGCAGAUAUCAGGAGGAACACCGAUGGCGAAGGCAGGUCUCUGGGCAUUAACUGACGCUGAGGAGCGAAAGCAUGGGGAGCGAACAGGAUUAGAUACCCUGGUAGUCCAUGCCGUAAACGUUGGGCACUAGGUGUGGGGGACAUUCCACGUUUUCCGCGCCGUAGCUAACGCAUUAAGUGCCCCGCCUGGGGAGUACGGCCGCAAGGCUAAAACUCAAAGGAAUUGACGGGGGCCCGCACAAGCGGCGGAGCAUGCGGAUUAAUUCGAUGCAACGCGAAGAACCUUACCAAGGCUUGACAUGGGCCGGACCGGGCUGGAAACAGUCCUUCCCCUUUGGGGCCGGUUCACAGGUGGUGCAUGGUUGUCGUCAGCUCGUGUCGUGAGAUGUUGGGUUAAGUCCCGCAACGAGCGCAACCCUCGUUCCAUGUUGCCAGCGCGUAAUGGCGGGGACUCAUGGGAGACUGCCGGGGUCAACUCGGAGGAAGGUGGGGACGACGUCAAAUCAUCAUGCCCCUUAUGUCUUGGGCUUCACGCAUGCUACAAUGGCCGGUACAAAGGGUUGCGAUACUGUGAGGUGGAGCUAAUCCCAAAAAGCCGGUCUCAGUUCGGAUUGGGGUCUGCAACUCGACCCCAUGAAGUCGGAGUCGCUAGUAAUCGCAGAUCAGCAACGCUGCGGUGAAUACGUUCCCGGGCCUUGUACACACCGCCCGUCAAGUCACGAAAGUUGGUAACACCCGAAGCCGGUGGCCUAACCCCUUGUGGGAGGGAGCUGUCGA